CUUUCUUUGCUGGCGACCGGCGCACGGGUGAGUAACACGUAUCCAACCUGCCCUUUACUCGGGGAUAGCCUUUCGAAAGAAAGAUUAAUACCCGAUAGUAUAAUGAUUCCGCAUGGUUUCAUUAUUAAAGGAUUCCGGUAAAGGAUGGGGAUGCGUUCCAUUAGGUUGUUGGUGAGGUAACGGCUCACCAAGCCUUCGAUGGAUAGGGGUUCUGAGAGGAAGGUCCCCCACAUUGGAGCUGAGACACGGUCCAA
rnacentral:rRNA from 1 species